rnacentral:tRNA from 1 species
GGAGCUGUAGCUCAGUGGCAGAGCACUUGUCUACCAUACAUGUGGCACUGGUUUCAAUCCUCCGCACCA